UUCUCGUUUGGGUGAAGGAAGUAUGACUGCUUUGCCAAUAGUUGAAACUCAGUCGGGAGAUGUUUCGGCUUAUAUUCCUACUAAUGUAAUUUCGAUUACUGAUGGACAAAUAUUCUUAUCUGCCGAUCUAUUCAAUGCUGGAAUCAGACCUGCUAUUAAUGUGGGUAUCUCCGUUUCCAGAGUGGGAUCUGCAGCUCAAAUUAAAGCUAUGAAACAAGUCGCUGGCAAAUUAAAAUUGGAACUGGCGCAAUUCGCAGAAUUAGAAGCCUUUGCACAAUUUGCUUCUGAUCUCGAUAAAGCUACUCAGAAUCAAUUGGCAAGAGGUCAACGAUUACGUGAAUUGCUCAAACAAUCCCAAUCAGCCCCUCUCACGGUGGAAGAACAGAUAAUGACUAUUUAUACCGGAACAAAUGGUUAUCUUGAUUUAUUAGAAAUUGGACAGGUAAGGAAAUUUCUUGUUGAGUUACGUACUUACCUAAAAACUAAUAAACCGAAGUUUCAAGAAAUCAUAUCUUCUACUAAGACAUUCACCGAGGAAGCAGAAGCCCUUUUGAAAAAAGCUAUUCAGGAACAGACGGAAUGUUUUAUACUUCAGGAACAAGCAUAAAGAAAUUGAUAAAAGUUCUCAACAAAAGGAUAAUCAAGCGUCUCGCAUUCAAAUCUUUCAAAAGGGCUUCCAAAAUCUAAAAAAAAUAAAUGGAAAUAAAUUGCGUCCAAUAGCAUUUCGUGAUUCAUUGGUAAAUCUACUUUGAUUCUCUAUCAACCAAUAAUGUGGGACCGUUAAACAUGGUUAAAGCUAAAUUGCUUGAAGUCCAGACCCAGCAUUGUACUCUUUCUACCACUAUAUUAAUACUAAUAUAAAGAUGCUUUCAAAAAUGAAUAGUUUAUCGAUAUAGAACACUCAUAUGGAUAAAACCUUUUGAACCACCUAUUAUAAAAUUAGAAAAUAAGGGGGAUGAAAUCCCCAUUUUUAUCCAAUGCUGAAUCGACGACCUAUGUAUUGUGUAUAAAGAAAGAAAAACUUUUUGGAUUUGAAAAAAAAAGAAACAACUUUGCUGACAAUUACAUAUUUUUGUUUGGUCAGAAGAGUCCUUCGACUAUUUUGGUUUUGGAUGAGUGAUUAGUUUCGACGAUAUUUUUAUUUUAUUUUUGAAUAUGAAGAGAGAAUAGAGGAUAGGCUCAUUACAUUCAAAAAAAGAUAUGGGAAUUUACCAUAAGUAAUUGAGUGUGAGAGCCAAAUGAAUCGAAAGAUUCAUGUUUGGUUCGGGAAGGGAUCAUGGAAGUUUUAAAUGAAUGGAAAGAGAAUCUACUUUGAUUAAGUGAUUUAUUAGAUAAUCAAAAACAUAGGAUUUUGAAUACUAUUCGAAAUUCUGAAGAACUUCGUGAAGGGGCCAUUGAACAGCUGGAAAAAGCCCGGGCGCGCUUACGAAAAGUGGAAAUGGAAGCAGAUCAGUUUCGGGUGAGUGGAUAUUCUGAGAUAGAGCGAGAAAAGUGGAAUUUUAUUAAUUCAACUUCUAAGACUUUGGAACAACUAGAAAAUUACAAAAACGAAACUAUUCAUUUUGAACAACAAAGGGCGAUUCAUCAAGUCCGACAACUGAUUUUCUAACAAGCCUUACAAUGGGCUCUAGGAACUCUGAUUAGUUGUUUGAACAACGAGUUACAUUUACGUACCAUCAGUGCCAAUAUUGGCAUCUUGGGGGUGAUGAAAGAAAUAACUGAUUAGUCCUUCUACUCUAGGUAUCAUUUUUUUUUCAAAAAUGAAUUAAGAAAUACUCAUGGUAACCAUUCGAGCCGACGAAAUUAGUAAUAUUAUCCGUGAACGUAUUGAGCAAUAUAAUAGAGAAGUAAAGAUUGUAAAUACCGGUACCGUACUGCAAGUAGGCGACGGCAUUGCUCGUAUUCAUGGUCUUGAUGAAGUAAUGGCGGGUGAAUUAGUAGAAUUUGAAGAGGGUACGGUAGGGAUUGCUCUGAAUUUGGAAUCAAAUAAUGUCGGUGUUGUAUUAAUGGGCGAUGGUUUGCUGAUACAAGAAGGAAGUUCUGUAAAAGCAACAGGAAGAAUUGCUCAGAUACCCGUGAGUGAGGCCUAUUUGGGUCGUGUUGUAAAUGCCCUGGCUAAACCUAUUGAUGGUAGAGGUGAAAUUUCAGCUUCUGAAUAUCGGUUAAUUGAAUCUCCCGCUCCAGGUAUUAUUUCACGACGUUCAGUAUACGAGCCUCUUCAAACGGGGCUUAUUGCUAUUGAUUCUAUGAUCCCUAUAGGACGUGGUCAGCGAGAAUUAAUUAUUGGGGACAGACAGACCGGUAAAACAGCAGUAGCAACAGAUACGAUUCUCAAUCAACAAGGCCAAAAUGUAAUAUGUGUUUAUGUAGCUAUUGGUCAAAAAGCAUCUUCUGUGGCUCAGGUAGUGACUACUUUCCAGGAAAGGGGGGCGAUGGAAUACACUAUUGUGGUAGCUGAAAUGGCGGAUUCCCCUGCUACAUUACAAUACCUCGCUCCUUAUACAGGAGCCGCUCUGGCGGAAUAUUUUAUGUACCGUGAACGACACACUUCAAUCAUUUAUGAUGAUCCCUCCAAACAAGCACAAGCUUAUCGACAAAUGUCUCUUCUAUUACGAAGACCGCCCGGUCGCGAAGCUUAUCCAGGGGAUGUUUUUUAUUUGCAUUCACGCCUUUUGGAAAGAGCUGCUAAAUUAAGUUCUCGUUUGGGUGAAGGAAGUAUGACUGCUUUGCCAAUAGUUGAAACUCAGUCGGGAGAUGUUUCGGCUUAUAUUCCUACUAAUGUAAUUUCGAUUACUGAUGGACAAAUAUUCUUAUCUGCCGAUCUAUUCAAUGCUGGAAUCAGACCUGCUAUUAAUGUGGGUAUCUCCGUUUCCAGAGUGGGAUCUGCAGCUCAAAUUAAAGCUAUGAAACAAGUCGCUGGCAAAUUAAAAUUGGAACUGGCGCAAUUCGCAGAAUUAGAAGCCUUUGCACAAUUUGCUUCUGAUCUCGAUAAAG
rnacentral:lncRNA from 1 species